rnacentral:lncRNA from 1 species
GAAUGAUAGAGAGGUUGGGUUGGAAGGGUCCUUGAAUAUCACAGAACCGUGGAAUGGUUGAGUUGGAAGGGUCCUUACAGAUAAAAGAAUUGCGGAAUGAUAGAGAGGUUGGGUUGGAAGGGUCCUUAAACAUCACAGAACCAGUGGUUGGACUGGGGAAGGCCCAGAGGUUCCACUUCCAACCUCCUGUAAUUCUGGGAUCUGUAAAAGAAUCCCAACACCUUGAGCCCAAAUCUGACCUUUUGUCCCACGAGACCGAUUUUAAGUUCCCCUCUCUGACAUUGGUUGGGUUCCCUUCUGUGAUGUUGGUUGGCUUCUUCUCUCCAGUGUUUGUUGGGUUCCCCUCUUCGAUGUUGGUUGGGUUCCCUUUCCAAUGUGGGUUCCCCUUUCUGACAUUUGUUGGGUUCUCCUCUCUAACGUUGGUUGGGUUCCCUUCUCCCAUACUCUUUGGUUUCUCUCUCCAGCAUUGGCUGGGUUUCCCUCUCUGACCUUGGCUGGUUUCUCUUUCCUGUGUGGGUUCCCUUCUCCAACCCCGAGUUCCCUUUGACAUUGGUUGGGUUCCCUUUCCAAUGUGGGUUCCCCUCUC